CCUACGGGUGGCAGCAGUGAGGAAUAUUGGUCAAUGGGCGCGAGCCUGAACCAGCCAAGUAGCGUGAAGGAUGACUGCCCUACGGGUUGUAAACCUCUUUUAUAAAGGAAUAAAGUGAGGCACGUGUCCCUUUUUGUAUGUACCUUAUGAAUAAGGAUCGGCUAACUCCGUGCCAGCAGCCGCGGUAAUACGGAGGAUCCGAGCGUUAUCCGGAUUUAUUGGGUUUAAAGGGUGCGUAGAUGGGUUGUUAAGUCAGUUGUGAAAGUUUGCGGCUCAACCGUAAAAUUGCCGUUGAUACUGGCAGUCUUGAGUACGGUUGAGGUAGGCGGAAUGCGUGGUGUAGCGGUGAAAUGCUUAGAUAUCACGAAGAACUCCGAUUGCGAAGGCAGCUUACUAACCUGCAACUGACGUUGAUGCACGAAAGUGUGGGUAUCAAACAGGAUUAGAUACCCGAGUAGUC
rnacentral:rRNA from 1 species